GGGGGGGGGGGGGGGGGGGGGGGGGGGGGGCGGGGGGGGGGGGGGGGGGGGGGUGGCGGGGGGGGGGAGGGGCGGGCGGGGGGGUGGGGCCGGGGAGUCUGCCUGGUGGGGGGGGGUGGCGUCCGGAAGCGGGCGCGACUACCGCAUACGCCCUGGGGGGGCAAGUGGGGGAGCUUCGGACCUCACGCGCUCAGAUGAGCCUAGGUGGGAUUGGCUAGCUGGUGGGGUCAAGGCCUACCAAGGCGACGAUCCGUAACUGGCCUGAGAGGAUGAUCAGGCACACUGGAACUGAGACACGGUCCAGACUCCUACGGGAGGCAGCAGUGGGGAAUAUUGGACAAUGGGCGAAAGCCUGAUCCAGCCAUGCCGCGUGUGUGAAGAAGGUCUUCGGAUUGUAAAGCACUUUUAGUUGGGAGGAAGGGCAGUAAGUUAAUACCUUGCUGUUUUGACGGUACCGACAGAAUAAGCACCGGCUAACUUCGUG
rnacentral:rRNA from 1 species